UUACAAACUUAAACAGUGUAUAAUUUAGUUUGUAUUAGGCUUGUUGGACGUGCGGGAGCCUUUGUGGAAGUGAAUGACGAAAUGAGAACAGGCUGCACCUCGAUUCCUGAUCUCUGACACAGCAAACAACCGGCCUGCUGUCACGUCCUAGCUGCUAUUAAAGCCCGAGACCGCGUGUACAGCCUCAUUCGUCCUCGGUACAUUUCAUUAGCUUGUCCCGACACAGCGUGGCUUAUCGACAAGAAUAAGAUGACCAAGCUUCUAUUAGUAUUGUUUUACCUAUCAAUCUUGAGUUACGUGACGUCAAAGCCCACCGAGAAGGAUGUAGGCUGCGGCGACCGCGACACCGCAACCAAGUGUUAUUACUGCAGCUCCCACUACGACAGACCGGAGCUCUACACUGAAUGUUGCACAAACCUGGAGUUUCAGAACCAUUGUAAAGUGGAAAUAUGGGUGGAACUUAAACGAGAGAGUAUGUGGUGAUUCUGAGCCAGGAUCGUAAACCCCGUUUAGAAGCAUCGGCCAAGACGGAACCAAGUGCUAGGAACGAUAACUCUUACGAUGUAAAACAGCCCCGGAUGUACCAUGGGGAACCUGAUGGCUUGUGUGCGUUGUGAUACAGUGUUUGGCUUUGACUUAUCUCCAAAGACUGCCAUUAAAAAGCAAUUACUACGGACAAACAACAUGCUUGAGACCGAGCGAGCUGCAUGAUCAAAAACUUGAAUUAAAUAUUUAAAUUAACAAGAGACCUUUUGAAAGUAGUUCAAGGAUGUGAAACUUUAUUGUGAGCGCAUUUCUUGGUUCGGCUUGUCAUCGUCUAAUAUCACAAUAAGCACUCAUUAAUUUAUCUCGGUUGUGAAAUGAUUUUAAGUGUUUCUCGAGUGAUAACAGAGUUUCGUUUCGGAAGGAAUGUCGUUUAGGGCAGUUAGGUCAUCCUACAACUUCAAAUGAAAUUUGUAUGGUGCAAUGUGUGACAUCACGUGCGGUAUGUGCAAGUGUAGGUCAUCACGUGCUGAAUGUGCAUGUGAUGAAGUGGAUGACGAUGAAGUCAUUCACAGGUGCCCGUGAUGCGGGGAAAGACAUUCCAGGGGAUGAGGAUCCUGGGGAUGAAACCACCUGGGAUGCUGGCAGCAUGAACAGUUCCUGACCAUCUAAUGUCUAUAGUUUUAUUUUGGCCCUGGAUUCGGCCGUCUUGGUUACUGUUUCGUUCGUUUAUAUUUGCUCGUUUAUUUAUUUCCCUAAAUGUUAUUUAUUUAUUGAGAGUUUAUUUAUUAUACAACAUGUGAAAUAAAUUUUUUUACAUUGUA